rnacentral:rRNA from 1 species
AUGUGCAGCCUCCGUUUAUUCCAAAUCCCUAUUUAUAAUGACAGAAAGAGCAGCGGCGAUGGCCGUGCUUGUCUAACUGCUAAGAGCAGAGCUAAUUUGGCUAGACCUUCUGGAAUCUGUCAAGUCCUAUCUAUCAGUGGCAAUAAUGCCAGUGAAUAUUUAUCUUUCCAAAGGAACAGGUCAUCACAUGAUUACAAUAACAUUGCAGCCCAGAACAUAAAUAACAGGAGAUGUCUGAUGUGUCUUCUGUACAAAACAUUGCCACUUGGACCUAAACUACACUACAACUUAAUUAGAGGGCAACAUAGUGUACACAUAGACUUCCAUGAAAGACCAGGUAUCUCCAUCGCUUCAUCAGCUUUAUUUUCCCAAAGAUAUUGUUUAUAA